AACAUUCUUCUCUCCCAGUUUUAGCUGGAUUGAUAGUGUACCCUUCCACAUGUCGCUUCUCUGCUCUCCUUCUGGAUAAUGAGAGAGGACUUCCAAAACUGUUUUAGAAUGUGGCAAAGAAAACGGGGUGGAUUGGGAUGAGGAAACAGUGGAUAUCUAGUACCUGUGGCAGCUGGAUGAUAUCAGGAUGUUAAUAAUUAUACAGAUUAUAAAGUUAUUUAAAACUGCUCUGGAAAAAAGAAAACAACAUGUUCAGGACAGCCAACUUUCAACCUGAGAGUGUAUGCGGUAUAAUCAGUUCCUCCCCCAUUGUUACUGAUAAACAGGCUCUCCAACCAACG
rnacentral:lncRNA from 1 species